UAAUAAACCUGAUGGUAACGAAAAUCCUUUUUGUUAACGAUAACGUUCUAUUUUUAGAAAUAUCUCAACAAAAAGAUUGCAGUGUACAGCAGAACUAAAA
rnacentral:sRNA from 1 species